CUCUUCAAUUCAACUUAGUUAUUCUUUGAUCUACUUCUCGAUUUUUCUAUAACUGUACUUAUUCGAUUCAACUAGCAUUUUAGUUGAGUUUAGUGUAAUAUCAAUCCGAUCGAUCUUAUAUAUGUUUAUACUUUAUACUGUUACUGUAUAUAUUGUCUUUGCUCGUUGUUUUAAUUUUGAUUUUUGCGAUUUUUGUAUUGGUUUUGGUGUUUUUACUCUACAAUCUGAAGUUGUUCUCUCUGCUUUGUAUUUCAAAUCUCGGUAAUCUCCAUAGCUUCUGUAAGUUUAGCUCAAUUUUGAACUUUCUCAUACAAUAUGGAAUCUCUGCUCUCUUCUCCAUACAUUAUGAAAUUUCUUAUCGUUAGGGUUAGAAAUUUUCCUUCGCAGAUUCACACAAAACUUUCCCUUUCGUUAUUCACCAGCAGUAGCCGGGCUCGGGCGUUAAAGUUUUGAGGAACUUAAACAAGGAAAUUUGACUCUAAGGUCACACAACGAUAGCUGACAAGAGUAUCACAUUGUUAAUAAAAGGAAGAGAAGAUUGAGAAUAUCACAUUGUUGAUGAGAGACUCGGUUUCCAAUUUGAUGUUUAGUUGUCUUGUAAAAAAGGAUACUACAUUUCUUACAAGUCGAUAACUAAGUUGGUGUAUCGGCUUUGUUAGUUCUUGUUUCAAGUAAAUGACAUUGUUUUGAGUU